rfam:Myotis brandtii contig198940, whole genome shotgun sequence.
GGCGGUUCUCGGGUGAUGCACCCCGGAAUCGGGCUCUUUCCUCUCUGGUUCCAAGUGUGUCACCCGAGAACUGCA